rnacentral:rRNA from 1 species
CUACGGAGGGUGCGAGCGUUAAUCGGAAUUACUGGGCGUAAAGAGUACGUAGGCGGUUGCUUAAGUCAGAUGUGAAAGCCCCGGGCUCAACCUGGGAACUGCAUUUGAAACUGAGUGACUAGAGUUUAAGAGAGGGGAGUAGAAUUCCGGGUGUAGCGGUGAAAUGCGUAGAGAUCCGGAGGAAUACCAGUGGCGAAGGCGGCUCCCUGGCUUAAAACUGACGCUGAGGUACGAAAGCGUGGGUAGCAAACAGGAUUAGAAACCCCAGUAGUCC